UGCCAGCAGCCGCGGUAAGACGAGGGGCCCAAGCGUUAAUCGGAAUCACUGGGCUUAAAGCGCGCGUAGGUGGUUUGAUAAGUAGACUGUGAAAUCCCCAGGCUUAACCUGGGAACUGCAGUCUAAACUGUCUCACUCGAGAUCAGUAGAGGGAGGUGGAAUUCCUGGUGCAGCGGUGAAAUGCGUAGAUAUCAGGAAGAACACCGGUGGCGAAGGCGACCUCCUGGACUGCAUCUGACACUGAGGUGCGAAAGCGUGGGGAGCGAACAGGAUUAGAUA
rnacentral:rRNA from 1 species